ensembl:antisense
GAAAAUCAAUAUCUAUUUCUAUACUUUCUUAAAAAUAAAUAAUGUAUUUUUAUUCCUUAAUUACCACUCUUUUAGAACAAUGGAGGAAAUGUUUUAGUACAAAAUAUAUUCACAGAAAGAGUCCAUUCUCAGGAGGCUAAGGCAGGAUAACUGUCAUGCAUUUGAGGCCAGCCUGGGCUACAGAGUGCUACACCAGCCAGGCCUAUAUUGCAAGAACCAUUUGUAAAAGCAAAGACCAAGCUGGGCGUGGCCUUUAAUCCCAGCACUCGGGAGGCAGAGGCAGGUGGAUUUCUGAGUUCGAGGCCAGCCUGGGCUACNNNNNNNNNNNNNNNNNNAAAAAAAAAAAAAAAAAAAAAAAGAAGUCAAAUAUCAUCAGGAAUACCCUGAAAAUGGUAAGGCCUCGCAGAUUACAAAGCAAAGGUCGGGGCUGGAGAGAUGGCUCAGUGGCUAAGAGCAGUGACUGCUCUUCCAAAGGUCCUAAGUUCAAAUCCCAGCAACCACAUGGUAGUUCACAACCAUCUGUAAUGAGAUCUAACGCCCUCUUCUGGAGUGUCUGUAUACACUACAGUGUACUCACAUACUUUAUUUAUUAAUAAAGUAAAUCUUUAAAGUCUACACAGCAAUCCCAGGAAGGAGACAGUACUGCCAUCAUUCUCAUUUACAGAUGAGGAGACUGAGACAGACAGAGGAAUUCGAUCUCUUGUGCAAGAUCACCCAGCUAGCAAUGGUACAUAGGGAAAGGGGUGUAACUAAGUCCAGGAACAGAGACUGCUUUCUAGCUACCAAACUCUCCUGCUUUAAAAGAGUAACUCAUUCUAUACUAAAAUAAUGAGAAAAUAAUAAUGAAAACAUUUUUUAGUCCUUGAAAUUUAAAAACUUAAACAGGCUCCUGAGUUGCUACAGUUACAUGGUUUGAAAGUGGUCUGUCCCUUAAGUCUUCAUGCUUUGGAGGUUUGGUGCCCAGGGCGGCAGUGUUGGUGAUGGUGUGGAACUGUUAAGAAGUAGGGCCUUGUGGGAGUCAUUAGACUAUGGGGAGAAAUGCCCUGGGAGAGAAUGCUGGUUUCCUGUGGUGCACUCUUAAGGGAGCCAGUAGUUACAGAAGCCUGAGCUAUAUAUGCGACUUUCUAUAUGCUUCCUGUUUAACGACAUUUCCCUAUAUAACCUGUGGUAAUGCCGUCAAGUGUCACACUGCUUUGCCAGUUGCCAAAGGAAUGGGCCUGUCCAAUCGUGACUUCCGAUCUCUAAAAUUAUGAGCCAAAAUAAAAAUAAGACUUUUUUCUUUAUAAAAUUGGCCUCAUUACGAUAAAUCACUGCAGUGCUCUAAAAGCAGCUAAUACAGAACUGAAGGAACCAUGUCUAAGAUACCAUGUUCUGCAGAGCCUCACUUACACUCCACACAAUAGCA